CUCAUUUCGAUAUUUUGUCACGCUCUCCCGCCACCAGGGGCGUCACUAGGCGCUUUUUCCUAAACGUCUGCCCAGCCCCCCUAAAAAAAUAUUUGAUCAAUUAUUUUUGAUCGCUUCAGUCCACUUUAAAAACGCAUUUGAAGUAGCGACAAGCUGCGUCAUGUUUCGACUCCUCCCCUGAACUGAGUGUGCAUGAAUUCAGCGCGUUUUUCAAUCCGCAGGGACGCCGAGCAUCAGAGAGUACAAGCUUCUGCUGGUGAUGCAGCUGUUGGGCAGUGAGUAGUCUUGAAGUAGGAGAGCUGGAGUUUCUUCAGAGUUGCAUGUUGCGUUUGGCUCUGGGCUUUCUCACACACUCUGCACGAGGCCUGCGGUUCCUCUCACACACUCUGCCUGCAGUGAGCAGGUGGCCUACAGCUACUUCAGCUGUCUGUCAGUUCUGUAUUAGCAGCUGUGCAAGAGGUAGAGAGCUCUCACAGAUGGCAAAUCUGGUCUCACACACCCAGAGGCUGAAGAAGAAAAGAAACAGAGAUAGAGAGAGCGAGAUCUUAACAGCAUAUUCUUGCCAUGAGAAUGUCAGAUGUGCCUCUGUCAGGCAGCAGCCAUAAGCCCCUAUAGCUAUUCACUCUCCCUCAUUCGCUGCCCCAUCUAGACACACACACACACACACACACACACACACACACACACACACACACACACACACACACACACACACACACACACACACACACACACACACACACACAGAGUGCCAGUGGAGCAGCGCCACAGGAGUGUAUGGUUAAGAAUAGCAGAAGCCGUGUCACAUCAGAUGUUUCGCGGCGCAUUCUCUGAGACAAACGGUUCGGUGCCAGGCUGUGCCAGAUGAGUGCCUCCUCCUCCCCUCCUGCGAUGCCACGCUGCUGCCGGUCCUUUGCUGUCACACACCCUCAGAGCUCCUCGCUGGAGGUUUGGCCCUCAGGUUGACAUAAUCCCACAGAGCGCCACAUUAUUAAGAUGAUUCCUGUCCCACAGGCCCAUGGGAUUACAGUGAUGUUGCUCUGGUUAGACUGUGUGCUCAUUGCACAUCUUCUUUUGUCUUAUCUCUGUGUGGGUUUGUGAAAUGGGCUUUUUGUUUAUUGAGUAAAUUGGAGAAAUUGAAA